UACAUACUUGCUCACUGGUAGAGCAUUACUCUGAAAAUAGUAAACCCAGCAGGUUCGAUUCCUGCGUAUGAAACAA
rnacentral:tRNA from 1 species